AGGUCCAUCACUUAUAUCAGAGAGCCCUUCAGAAGUUACCUCUAUGUGCAACACUGUGGAAAGAUCAACUCUUGUUUGAAGCAUCAGGAGGAGGUAAAACUGAUAACCUGAGAAAACUAGUUUCCAAGUGCCAAGAGGUUGGAGUCAGCCUAGAUGAGCUUUUAAAUUUAAACACUUACAGAACAGAAAGCAAGAACCACUGAACGCUGAGUAUGGUCAGCCAUAAGUCUAUUAAAUGCCAAAAUCAGUUGAAUGAUUCUUCAGGCUGAUCCAUGCCUAAGGUCUGUGUAAGGCAGAUGAGUAUUGCUGAGCAUAUCGAGUCUCCAAUCUGCUUUCCUUGAACCUGGAAACAAUUAACAUGACCUGCCUCUGGAAAAAUGAACUCCCUGUCUGGCCUUGCUUCUGGGCCCUGCCAGAUUCUCAUAACAUCAUCUACGUAAGUAUAGUUAAUCAAAAUGACAGACAUUAUUUUUUUAUGUUUUCUUUUUAUUUUCUGGUUUGGUUUUUUUUUUUUGUUUGUUUUGCUGUUCCUGAUUCACUUGACACUCUCGCUGAUGCCUGAGAGAUCUGUGUUUGGGAUUAAUUUACUGGGCUGUGUUUACAGUAAAAAAAACAAGUAGUCCAUUUUGGGUUUUUCCUUUUUUAAACCUUUUUGAGACUUUUUCAUUACAGGAUUUAAAACAAAAGCAGCCGCUCUUAAGGAAAGUGUAACUGCCGUGGCCACAAGUAUGCUUCUUGCACUUGAAGGCUCUAAGAGGGUUGCUUACUGCCCUUGUCUGCAUUGGACUCACGGCACAGACUAUUAAACUUGAAGAUUAAAGAAACUAUUGCAAAUGCCAGUGCAUCAGAACCUAAGAGUGGUCAAUUAUGUGCAAUUUUUUGUAAAGAAAUUUUAAUUUAUAAUAAAGUUUAACAGUUUAAAGAAA